UUUAUGGAUCCAGACUUUUGAUUUGUAAAACACCGUGUCAGGGAAGCCGUCUAGUAACCCACUGGGCAGAUUCUGCAGAGAGCCACCGUGGAAAGCUCUCGCAGCCCACGAACGGCUCCAGAGCGAAGGAGGGACCGUGAAGGUAGCGGGAGGUGAUGGGUACGGAGGUGGCCGUGGCCUGGGCCUUUAGUUAUGCUGGCACCAUCCUUCACACUUGCAGUCGCGUGUUCUCCGGGCCUUCCUUGGAUUAUGUUCUAAAGAUGUGUCUUAACGGCUACCGUACAGAGCGAGAUGAGGAAGCAAUGGAGACUCAUCGUGACAGGCAAAGGGCACAGAGAAGCACUUGGCAAGAUGGCUCAGCAGGUAAAGGUACUUGCUGCCAAAUCUGACAACCUGGAUUGGGUCCUGGGACUCACAUGGAGGAAGGAGUGAACAGGUGCCUCUGGAUGGUCCUCUCACCUUUACCACAUGCUUCGGCUGGCACAUGUCCACCUACCAACCCAAAAUAUAACUAGAAAGUGUAAAAAGAAGCACUUUCCUACACUCCAAGUAAUAAAAAGGAUCCGGUGUUUUAGAAUG
rnacentral:lncRNA from 1 species